GACGAACGCUGGCGGCGUGCUUAACACAUGCAAGUCGAACGAAGUGGCGAACGGGUGAGUACCGCGUAAUCACCCUGCCCCUCAGAGGGGGACAACAGUUGGAAACGACUGCUAAUACCGCAUACUGAAGGAGGGGAUUGCGUCUGAUUAGCUAGUUGGAGGGGUAACGACCCACCACGGAGAUGAUCGGUAGGCGUUGUGAGCGGAUGAACGGCCACAUUUGGAAUGAGUCACGGCCCAGACGCAUACGGGGAGCAGCAGUGGGGAAUCUUCCGCAAUGGAAGAAAGUCUUACGGAGCAACGCCGCGGGAGGGAUGACGGCCUUCGGGUUGUAAAGCUCUGUGUGUCGGGACGCGGUACCGGAAUAGAAAGCAACGGCUAACUACGUGCCAGCAGCCGCGGUAAUAC
rnacentral:rRNA from 1 species